rnacentral:rRNA from 1 species
CACGAAGUUAGCCGGGGCUUCUUCUCCGGAUACCGUCAUUAUCUUCUCCGGUGAAAGAACUUUACAACCCUAAGGCCUUCAUCAUUCACGCGGCAUGGCUGGAUCAGGCUUGCGCCCAUUGUCCAAUAUUCCCCACUGCUGCCUCCCGUAGGAGUUUGGGCCGUGUCUCAGUCCCAAUGUGGCUGAUCAUCCUCUCAGACCAGCUAUGGAUCGUCGCCUUGGUAGGCCUUUACCCCACCAACUAGCUAAUCCAACGCGGGCCGAUCCUUUACCGAUAAAUCUUUCCCCCAAAGGGCACAUACGGUAUUAGCUCCAGUUUCCCCGGAGUUGUUCCGUAGUAAAGGGUACGUUCCCACGCGUUACUCACCCGUCUGCCGCUCCCCUUGCGGGGCGCUCGACUUGCAUGUGUUAAGCCUGCCGCCAGCGUUCGUUCUGAGCCAGGAGUCAAACUACU